rnacentral:rRNA from 1 species
AAGAGACAGCAGCCGCCACGGGAAUACAGAGGGUGCGAGCGUUAAUCGGAUUUACUGGGCGUAAAGCGUGCGUAGGCGGCUUUUUAAGUCGGAUGUGAAAUCCCUGAGCUUAACUUAGGAAUUGCAUUCGAUACUGGGAAGCUAGAGUAUGGGAGAGGAUGGUAGAAUUCCAGGUGUAGCGGUGAAAUGCGUAGAGAUCUGGAGGAAUACCGAUGGCGAAGGCAGCCAUCUGGCCUAAUACUGACGCUGAGGUACGAAAGCAUGGGGAGCAAACAGGAUUAGAUACCCCUGUAGUCCCUGUCUCUUAUAC